rnacentral:rRNA from 1 species
AGAGCGAACGCUGGCGGCAGGCUUAACACAUGCAAGUCGAGCGGGCGUAGCAAUACGUCAGCGGCAGACGGGUGAGUAACGCGUGGGAACGUACCUUUUGGUUCGGAACAACCCAGGGAAACUUGGGCUAAUACCGGAUAAGCCCUUACGGGGAAAGAUUUAUCGCCGAAAGAUCGGCCCGCGUCUGAUUAGCUAGUUGGUGAGGUAAUGGCUCACCAAGGCGACGAUCAGUAGCUGGUCUGAGAGGAUGAUCAGCCACAUUGGGACUGAGACACGGCCCAAACUCCUACGGGAGGCAGCAGUGGGGAAUAUUGGACAAUGGGCGCAAGCCUGAUCCAGCCAUGCCGCGUGAGUGAUGAAGGCCCUAGGGUUGUAAAGCUCUUUUGUGCGGGAAGAUAAGUGACGGUACCGCAAAGAAUAAGCCCGGCUAACUUCGUGCCAGCAGCCGC